rnacentral:lncRNA from 1 species
AGUUCAGCUUCCUCAAAGCUUUUCCCUACAGAAAAAGAACAAAUAGAAAAAGAGAUACUUACACCCAACCAAUGAUCUGGAGUCGGGGAGCCCUUUGGUUGAGUCAGAGAAAGGCUGGAAGAAGUUGAGGAAGCCUGUGACUGCACUAAAUAUCUCAAACUGAAUACAAUUUAAAUGCCAAUGAUACUAAUUGUUAUUUAUAUGAAAUGAGUAAUAAUACGUAGAUACUUCCUAACAACAUGGUAGUUUUACAAGUUCUAUCUAUGAAGUAUGGGGUGGGAUGGGGUGAGGAUAGGUAGAAGGAGGGAUGGAGAGAGAGAGUAUGUCUUCAGGACAGCCCCGAUUCUUCUACCAGUUCUGAACUAAAGCUUCCUAGUUCUGAGUGUGAAGAGAGCACUGAGAAGAUGACCAGAAGGGCUUAGCAUCUGUAGAGAAUACUAGCCUCCCUUCCAGCUAUCCCCAGGGCAACCAGUUGAACACAUCUGGAAAUCUUCCAGUGUGGGGCAGCCAUACUUGAAACAGCUCGCCUAGAUAUAAUCAGACUUGGACCAAUCUACCCUGGAGCAACCAACUUGCAGCAAGCAGAUCUGGAACAAAACACUCAUGCCUGGUGUAUUCAAAUCUGAAACAGUUGGGCAUGGACUGUUCCUUUCUAUAACUGUGGGGCAGAGUCUACAGGCUUACAUGCAGUUCCAGCAGAACUUCUCUGCCAGUGAUUUGGAGGCAAAUUU